CGCGGCCUAUCAGCUUGUUGGUGAGGUAAUGGCUCACCAAGGCGUCGACGGGUAGCCGGCCUGAGAGGGUGACCGGCCACACUGGGACUGAGACACGGCCCAGACUCCUACGGGAGGCAGCAGUGGGGAAUAUUGCACAAUGGGCGGAAGCCUGAUGCAGCAACGCCGCGUGAGGGAUGACGGCCUUCGGGUUGUAAACCUCUUUUAGCAGGGAAGAAGCGAAAGUGACGGUACCUGCAGAAAAAGCACCGGCUAACUACGUGCCAGCAGCCGCGGUAAUACGUAGGGUGCAAGCGUUAUCCGGAAUUAUUGGGCGUAAAGAGCUCGUAGGCGGUUCAGUAAGUCAGGUGUGAAAGUCCAAGGCUUAACCUUGGAACGCCACUUGAUACUGCUGUGACUAGAGUCCGGUAGAGGAGUGUGGAAUUCCUGGUGUAGCGGUGAAAUGCGCAGAUAUCAGGAGGAACACCGACGGCGAAGGCAGCACUCUGGGCCGGUACUGACGCUGAGGAGCGAAAGCAUGGGGAGCGAACAGGAUUAGAUACCCUGGUAGUCCAUGCCGUAAACGUUGGGCACUAGGUGUGGGGCCUUAUCAACGGGUUCCGUGCCGUAGCUAACGCAUUAAGUGCCCCGCCUGGGGAGUACGG
rnacentral:rRNA from 1 species